AUUGGACGCUGGCGGCAGGCCUAACACAUGCAAGUCGAGCGGUAGAGAGGUGCUUGCACCUCUUGAGAGCGGCGGACGGGUGAGUAAUGCCUAGGAAUCUGCCUGGUAGUGGGGGAUAACGCUCGGAAACGGACGCUAAUACCGCAUACGUCCUACGGGAGAAAGCAGGGGACCUUCGGGCCUUGCGCUAUCAGAUGAGCCUAGGUCGGAUUAGCUAGUUGGUGAGGUAAUGGCUCACCAAGGCGACGAUCCGUAACUGGUCUGAGAGGAUGAUCAGUCACACUGGAACUGAGACACGGUCCAGACUCCUACGGGAGGCAGCAGUGGGGAAUAUUGGACAAUGGGCGAAAGCCUGAUCCAGCCAUGCCGCGUGUGUGAAGAAGGUCUUCGGAUUGUAAAGCACUUUAAGUUGGGAGGAAGGGUCGUUACCUAAUACGUGACGAUUUUGACGUUACCGACAGAAUAAGCACCGGCUAACUCUGUGCCAGCCGCCGCUGUAAUAC
rnacentral:rRNA from 1 species